UCUCCAAUUAACCACCAAAAAGCUGGAAGUAGAGGUGUGGUUCAAGUAAUAGAGCCCCAGCCUGGAGUGAAAAAAGCUAAGGGACAGUGUCCAGGCUCUGAGUUCAAGCCCUAGAACCAGUACACACAUAUACCCAAAAAACCCAGGACCUCAUUUCCUGACCUCAUGUUUAAAACACACAAAGAAUCAAGGCCUUAUUUAUUCAGUCCCCUAUUUCUUUCCAUUUCCCAACAGCUGUCUACUACCUGUUUAAUGUACUGAGUCAUUAGAUCAUCGCACAUCACUUUUUAAACAAAAUACACCCAAGGCUGGCCUACUUUCCUUGCUAUUUUCUUCUAAAGCCAACACAUAAUAAAUAACAACCACUGAUAUGUAAAAUGUCUCUCUGGGAACCACCUAAAAUCACCUCACUGCUCUUACUGAGAAACACCCAUUCAUUCAGGAAACAAUGACUGUAAGGAUUUGCUCCUGUCAGCUUCAACCUCAGCUCCUUCAAAAAGAGAUGUGGGAAAGCACUUCCAACAGGCUCCUCCCAGCCUGAGAAUCCAGGCCACAGCCUCCAGUUCUCACUGAGGGCCAGGUCUUAUCCAAAUGAUGACAAAACGCCAACACAUCCCCUGAUAUGUCAACUGUGUGACAGGGCACUGAUCUGAGAUGAAGCCAGGAAGCUACCUCAAACUGUUAGCAUACUCUACCAAAGCAGGGAGCUCAGAAAAAUGUGUGUGUGUGUGUGUGUGUGUAUGUGUGU